rnacentral:tRNA from 1 species
AAUAAAAUGCCUGAAAAAAAGGAUUACUUUGAUAGAGUAAAUCAUGUAUUUUAUAUACUUUUAUUA